rnacentral:tRNA from 1 species
GGCGAGGUGGUUCAGUGGUUAGAACGCGAAUUUACUCACCGAAAGGUCUGGUUCGAAUCCGAUCCCUGCCC